AACACUGUUAACCUGCGGUACCUGCGGAGGGAUCAUUACAAGUGACCCCGGUUUACCACCGGGAUGUUCAUAACCCUUUGUUGUCCGACUCUGUUGCCUCCGGGGCGACCCUGCCUUCGGGCGGGGGCUCCGGGUGGACACUUCAAACUCUUGCGUAACUUUGCAGUCUGAGUAAACUUAAUUAAUAAAUUAAAACUUUCAACAACGGAUCU
rnacentral:misc_RNA from 1 species